rnacentral:rRNA from 1 species
UACGAAGGGGGCUAGCGUUGCUCGGAAUUACUGGGCGUAAAGGGAGCGUAGGCGGACUGUUAAGUUAGAGGUGAAAGCCCAGGGCUCAACCUUGGAAUUGCCUUUGAUACUGGCAGUCUUGAGUACGGAAGAGGUAUGUGGAACUCCGAGUGUAGAGGUGAAAUUCGUAGAUAUUCGGAAGAACACCAGUGGCGAAGGCGACAUACUGGUCCGUUACUGACGCUGAGGCUCGAAAGCGUGGGGGAGCAAACAGGAUUAGAUACCCUGGUAGUCCACGCCGUAAACGAUGAGUGCUAGUUGUCGGCAUGCAUGCAUGUCGGUGACGCAGCUAACGCAUUAAGCACUCCGCCUGGGGAGUACGGUCGCAAGAUUAAAACUCAA